GGACCUGACUGCUAUCGGAUUGAUACUAAGCCAUGCGAGUCAUGNUAGCAAUACAAGGCAUACGGCUCAGUAACGCGUAGUCAACCUAACCUAUGGACGGGAAUAACCUCGGGAAACUGAGAAUAAUGCCCGAUAGAACAUUAUGCCUGGAAUGGUUUAUGUUCCAAAUGAUUUAUCGCCGUAGGAUGGGACUGCGGCCUAUCAGUUUGUUGGUGAGGUAAUGGCCCACCAAGACUAUUACAGGUACGGGCUCUGAGAGGAGUAGCCCGGAGAUGGGUACUGAGACACGGACCCAGGCCCUAUGGGGCGCAGCAGGCGAGAAAACUUUGCAAUGUGCGAAAGCACGACAAGGUUAAUCCGAGUGGUUUCUGCUAAAGAAACCUUUUGUCAGUCCUAGAAACACUGAUGAAUAAGGGGUGGGCGAGUUCUGGUGU
rnacentral:rRNA from 1 species